GAUGAAGAACGUAGCGAAAUGCGAUACGUAAUGUGAAUUGCAGAAUUCAGUGAAUCAUCGAAUCUUUGAACGCAUAUUGCGCUCUCUGGUAUUCCGGAGAGCAUGCUUGUUUGAGUAUCAGUAAACACCUCAACUUCCAUAUCUUUUUUGAAAUGGGAGUUGGACUUGAGUGAUCCCAACGCUUUUCCUCACUGAAAAGUGGCGGGUUACUUGAAAUGCAGGUGCAGCUGGACUUUUCUCUGAGCUAUAAGCAUAUCUAUUUAGUCUGCCUAAAAAACAGAUUAUUACCUUUGCUGCAGCUAACAUAAAGGAGAUUAGUUCUUGUGCUGACUGAUGCAGGAUUCACAAAGACAGGCUUCGGCCGACUUUGUAAACUCGAUCUCAAAUCAAGUAAGACUACCCGCUGAACUUAAGCAUAUCAAUAAGCGGAGGA
rnacentral:misc_RNA from 1 species